AGCUUUACCAUGCAGUCGACGGCAGCACGAGAUAAGCUUGCUUAUUUUGGUGGCGAGUGGCGAACGGGUGAGUAAUGUAUCGGAACGUGCCCAGUAGCGGGGGAUAACUACGCGAAAGCGUGGCUAAUACCGCAUACGCCCUACGGGGGAAAGGGGGGGAUUCUUCGGAACCUCUCACUAUUGGAGCGGCCGAUAUCGGAUUAGCUAGUUGGUGGGGUAAAGGCCUACCAAGGCUGCGAUCCGUAGCUGGUUUGAGAGGACGACCAGCCACACUGGGACUGAGACACGGCCCAGACUCCUACGGGAGGCAGCAGUGGGGGAUUUUGGACAAUGGGGGCAACCCUGAUCCAGCCAUCCCGCGUGUGCGAUGAAGGCCUUCGGGUUGUAAAGCACUUUUGGCAGGGAAGAAAAGGCGCGGGCUAAUACCUUGCGCCGCUGACGGUACCUGCAGAAUAAGCACCGGCUAACUACGUGCCAGCAGCCGCGGUAUA
rnacentral:rRNA from 2 species